AUACCUUUCUCGGCCUUUUGGCUAAGAUCAAGUGUAGUAUCUGUUCUUAUCAGUUUAAUAUCUGAUAUGUGGUCCAUCGGAUCACACGAUAUUAACUCUAUUUUUUUAGGGAGGAAAACUCGUCAAGAUAGCUUGCUAUCUGGGUUUCCGCGAGUCGGCCAUGCGUUGCACUACUGCACGGACCUGGCUCAACCCAC
rfam:Brassica napus, WGS project CCCW01000000 data, contig: 14558